AACGAACGCUGGCGGCAUGCCUAACACAUGCAAGUCGAACGAGACCUUCGGGUCUAGUGGCGCACGGGUGCGUAACGCGUGGGAACCUGCCCUUAGGUUCGGAAUAACUCCCCGAAAGGGGUGCUAAUACCGGAUAAUGUCUUCGGACCAAAGAUUUAUCGCCUUUGGAUGGGCCCGCGUUGGAUUAGCUAGUUGGUAGGGUAAAAGCCUACCAGGGCGACGAUCCAUAGCUGGUCUGAGAGGAUGAUCAGCCACACUGGGACUGAGACACGGCCCAGAAUCCUACGGGAGGGAGCAGUGGGGAAUAUUGGACAAUGGGCGAAAGCCUGACAAAGCAAUGCCGGGUGAGUGAUGCAGGCCUUAGGGUAGUAAAGCUCUUUUACACGGGAUGAUAAUGACAGUACCGGGAGAAUAAGCACCGGCUAACUCCGUG
rnacentral:rRNA from 1 species